rnacentral:ncRNA from 2 species
AGAAACUUGUCGGAGUGCUUAGUGCUUUUUAAAGUACGAGCUGAGACCGCAGUGCGGGAUCCGUAGAACCUGAUCAGGCUAAUACCUGCGAAGGGAACAAGAGACAAUUUACA